AGUAUUAUACAGUACAACCGGUCGUACUGUAUGGGCACCUACAUGCGCAAUCAGAGGCCUACAGAUUGUACAGAGGCGACUGGCCUAAACCAGCCCUGACCUGAUACUCAGCCCCCAAUCCAACCCAACCCCGCCCCGGACUCAUCCCCCAAACCCGGACCCAGCCCUGCGGCAGUCCAAGAGCACCACCCUCACUACCUCAGAGGCUCAGACUACCCACUCUCGGUCCAGAACCCAGAGGCCAGUAAAGAGGAUGUCGGUCACAAAGGCGUGCCGACCCCCCAGAGAUGACAGGAUACUUUUUUCGCCUAACUUUAUCGCCGCGUGUCAAUAGCUGUCGGGGCAGAUCGCGUGCCGUAGAGGGGGCUCUUCGAUCCCAGCAGUGCCCAGCGCCGCCGUAUGGGGACGUCGGUAGCUGUUUUACUCACGGGAGGGGCUUCGCUGUUUGGUCUAGGCGGGUUGGAUAACAGGAGCAGGGGCUCGUACAGAGCCGGAUGGGUGGCGUGCGUGCAGGCGCACAGCCGUGGCACAGGCUGUCUUACUCAACCUUGCCGCCCAGGGUGAUCAGAGAUUAGAGAGAUAAGGUCGGGCGGGUUGCCCAAGUAGAGUCACCGCCGCUGGCGGGAGCUGGGGUUACCCUUCGCGUGCGGGGCACGCGGCGGGUGGUAGAGAGAGGAAGGGAGAGGGGCGGGGAGACAGGAAAGCAAGCAGGUCCCGCAAGCCGGCACGGCGUGUCGGAGACUUGGUCACACGCAGGUCAGGCAGACCAGGUGCAGGGGUAAGCAAAACUUCUUCAGACCAGAGGUGUCGCAGUCGACCUGCAAUCUGGGGCAGGGGAGGCGAACACCCCAGGGGGAGGGCAGGGGAGACAGGAAAGCAAGCAGGUCCCGCAAGCCGGCACGGCGUGUCGGAGACUUGGUCACACGCAGGUCAGGCAGACCAGGUGCAGGGGUAAGCAAAACUUCUUCAGACCAGAGGUGUCGCAGUCGACCUGCAAUCUGGGGCAGGGGAGGCGAACACCCCAGGGGGAGGGCAGGGGGAAGAGCCCCCGACGACCCAACCCGCAGACAAGGCGUGCGUGCCCGUCCAAUGCCGUCCGCCCCACUGCCUAGGCCCAGGCCCUGUGUUAUCUCACGCUAACGGCGUUCUCCGCCCGUCUCUGUCUCCUUCGUUCCCUGCUACUGCCACUAACCGAACAGGCUCAGGCCCAAACACCGAACCGGACCCUGCUCUGGCUCGCUCCCAGCUCACCCUGCUAUCAGCUGCUGUACCCAAUCGCUGCCAGACACUACACGUAUGCAACCCGGCGCAGAGGCUCUUCACUGGCGUACGCUAUGCGGGUUGGGGUACUCUCGACCCUAGUGUGGGCAGGGGCCUUGGCUAUCACUGACGGGCUGCGGGUAACAGCUCAGGACUUACGGGGAUAGGUUGGGGGCAACAGGCACAGCGGUGUGGGGUAGGGGAGAGAUGGGGAGAGGGGAGAGUCUGGGGCUCGGAUGAACCGGAGUAGGUGAGAGAUAAUAAGGGGAGGGGGAAGGGGGCUUCGAACGGGUACUUGGUCGUGCCGGGAGGCACCCUGUGGGGGAGGGGAAAGGCUAGCCUAGACUUGCGCGAGCGGGCGACUUCGCGCCGUGCACAAGGGGCCGCGAUACAAGGGAUCGUUCUUUGUCCAACUUGCAUUACAAUACUAGAGACUCGUAAUUCAAGAGUCUUGUUGAGAGUGACUCCUAUGAUUGCUCAGGAGUGACCGCGCCGUAGUGGCGGAGUGACUGAAACAGCACAGCUCGCUCGCUUAUAUCUUGCCCUCGGCCCCUGCAUUGGCCGGAUGGGACCCGUACAGGUCGUACGGGCCUAGGCCCCAAACCGCAAGUGCUACGCAACUGCGCCGAGAGGCCUACGUGCUACUAACUUCACUAAGGGCCCAUCGGGCCCCCUACGCGCACACCGCGCCAGCGUUUGCGUCGCUGCGCGCAACUAACACCCUUUCAGCUCCCAAACACAGCCGCGCUUCCCCUGUGGCGUUCUCUUGCGCAUCCGCAAAGUUCUCAGCCGUCUAGGCCCAGCGCUAGGCGUACCGCCUAGCGCUCGCUAUUCGGCCGCGGGACCCUUGUCAACAUACCGCACCAAGCCUGCGCAUCGCUUGCGCUUCUCGUGGCCUUUUGCAUGUCCCGACAGCUUGAGGCAGACAGCCCGCGUUUGGCAUUGCUUGCUCAACUAAUACUCUAUUAUCUAUCAAACGAUUCUUUAGCAAGCUUAGGCUUAGAGAGGCGGUCUUGCUUGCUCCGCCAUUCUGCUCGAUCCAAAGUCGAUUCCGCCCUCGCUAUCUCCAGUUCCCCGCCGCGUUCUGCCGCUCCGCCCAGUCGGCGCCGCGGCUUAUGUGCUUACUGCUUAAGUGGCUAUGCGGUGCGUGCCG
rnacentral:lncRNA from 1 species